rnacentral:rRNA from 1 species
GACGAACGCUGGCGGCGUGCUUAACACAUGCAAGUCGAACGGAAAGGCCCUGCUUUUGUGGGGUGCUCGAGUGGCGAACGAGUGAGUAACACGUGAGUAACCUGCCCUUGACUUUGGGAUAACUUCAGGAAACUGGGGCUAAUACCGGAUAGGAGCUCCUGCUGCAUGGUGGGGGUUGGAAAGUUUCGGCGGUUGGGGAUGGACUCGCGGCUUAUCAGCUUGUUGGUGGGGUAGUGGCUUACCAAGGCUUUGACGGGUAGCCGGCCUGAGAGGGUGACCGGCCACAUUGGGACUGAGAUACGGCCCAGACUCCUACGGGAGGCAGCAGUGGGGAAUAUUGCACAAUGGGCGGAAGUCUGAUGCAGCAACGCCGCGUGCGGGAUGACGGCCUUCGGGUUGUAAACCGCUUUCGCCUGUGACGAAGCGUGAGUGACGGUAAUGGGUAAAGAAGCACCGGCUAACUACGUG